UGAAGCGGCAAAAGCUCAAAUUUGAAAUCUAGCACCUUCGGUGUUCGAGUUGUAAUUUGAAGAUGGUAACCUUGGGUUUGGCUCUUGUCUAUGUUCCUUGGAACAGGACGUCAUAGAGGGUGAGAAUCCCGUCUGAUGAGAUGCCCAUUCCUAUGUAAGGUGCUAUCGAAGAGUCGAGUUGUUUGGGAAUGCAGCUCUAAGUGGGUGGUAAAUUCCAUCUAAAGCUAAAUAUUGGCGAGAGACCGAUAGCGAACAAGUACAGUGAUGGAAAGAUGAAAAGAACUUUGAAAAGAGAGUGAAAAAGUACGUGAAAUUGUUGAAAGGGAAGGGCAUUAGAUCAGACUUGGUGUUUUACGAUUAUCUUCUCUUCUUGAGUUGUGCACUCGUAUUUCACUGGGCCAGCAUCGAUUCGGAUGGCAAGAUAAUGGCAGUUGAAUGUGGCUUCACUUCGGUGGAGUGUUAUAGCUUCUGCUGAUAUUGCCUGUCUGGAUCGAGGGCUGCGUCUUUUGACUAGGAUGCUGGCGUAAUGAUCUAAUGCCGCCCGUCUUGACCCCCGGACCC
rnacentral:rRNA from 1 species